UACGUAGGGUGCAAGCGUUGUCCGGAAUUAUUGGGCGUAAAGAGCGUGUAGGCGGCCCGAUUAGUCCGCUGUGAAAGUCCAGGGCUCAACCCUGGAAUGCCGGUGGAUACUGUCGGGCUAGAGUCCGGAAGGGGCGAGUGGAAUUCCUGGUGUAGCGGUGAAAUGCGUAGAUAUCAGGAGGAACACCAAUGGCGAAGGCAGCUCGCUGGGACGGUACUGACGCUGAGACGCGAAAGCGUGGGGAGCAAACAGG
rnacentral:rRNA from 1 species